rnacentral:lncRNA from 1 species
RGCAGCGGACCCGAGGCAGCGUGCCGCCCGCGGGCCUCAUCUCUUAUCCGGCCGCUAAGAGGGAGGUUCAACACAAGAGCGCGUUUGAGCAGGAARAAUAAGCGGCAGGGGAAGCCCCGGCGGAUGGAUGGAUGGAAGGAUGGAUGGACAGAUGGAUGGGCGUGAGGAGGGGCUGCUCCCGGCACCGCUGGACCGGAGCAUCCCGUUUCCAACCGGAGCAUCCCGUUUCCCUCCGGAGAGCAGUCGGUGCAGAAGCGGCGGUGUUGGCAGGUGCUCUCCAGGCAGCUCUGCAGGUGUCUCUUCCAGGUGCCUCCGUGUUGCCUGGAGCCAGGUGGUGGGACAACGUGGGCAGAAGACACCAAGUACAGGGUCAGCGUGGUCCUGGCUGCUCCGAUAUGACUCUUCGUGACGACUCGGUCGAAUGAAUGCCGCUUUUCAAACAACUGGAGAAGAAAAGCCACAGGAUAUUAAUGUUGAGGAUGGAAAAACCUUUCCUGCACCGGGCGUGGAGGUGCGAGGUGGUACCCGAACCCCCGCUGCACAGGACGGGGCAUUCCCGGCUCCGGCACGCCGUUGCGCUGUAAUUAAAGCAUCAGUAAUAGGAUUUGCAGCGCCCGGAGCCGCGGUGCAGCGGCUGCCGCAG